UCAAGCUAAUAAGGGCGCAAGGGGGAUGCCUUGGCAUUGGUAGCCGAUGAAGGACGUAGCGAUCUACGAUAAGCCACGGGAAGUCGAAAGCAGGCAAUGAUCCGUGGAUUUCCGAAUGGGGAAACCCGGCAGAGCAAUACUCUGUCAACUCCUUGUGAAUAAAAUAGCAUUGAGUAGGGAACCUCCUGAACUGAAACAUCUAAGUAGGGAGAGGAAAAGAAAUCAACCGAGAUUCCGCUAGUAGUGGCGAGCGAACGCGGAAGAGGCCAAACCAAGAGUAGUAAUACUUUUGGGGUUCGGACUGAGCACGGUAUUGACAAAGGUUAGUAGAAUGAAAUGGGAAGUUCAACCAUAGAGCGUGAGAGUCGCGUAUACGAAAACUUGAGUCAGCCAUCAGUAUCCAGAGUACCGCCGGACACGUGAAACCCGGUGGGAAUACGGGGGGACCACCCUCCAAGCCUAAAUACUCACCAAUGACCGAUAGUGUAUAGUACUGUGAAGGAAAGGUGAAAAGAACCCCUGGCGGGGAGUGAAAAAGAACCUGAAACCUUGUGCCUACAAGCACAUAGAGCACAUCAACGUGUGAUAUGGUACCUUUUGUAGAAUGGUCCGGCGAGUGAAUGUCACUAGCGAGGUUAAGGACUUAAGGUCUGCAGCCGAAGCGAAAGCGAGUCUUAAUAGGGCGCUAAUAGUUAGUGGUAUUCGACCCGAAACCGAGUGACCUAGCCAUGAGCAGGCUGAAGUGGAGGUAAAACUCCAUGGAGGGCCGAACCCACUCCCGUUGAAAUGGUAGGGGAUGACUUGUGGCUAGCGGAGAAAUUCCAAUCGAACUCGGAGAUAGCUGGUUCUCUCCGAAAUAGCUUUAGGGCUAGCCUCAAAUAACAUUACCGCAGGUAAAGCACUGAAUGGGCUAGGGGGCGAAAGCUUACUGAACCCUAUCAAACUAAGAAUGGCGGAUAAUGAAUAUUUGGGAGUCACACUACGUGAGAUAAGUUUCGUGGUGGAAAGGGAAACAGCCCAGACCCACAGCUAAGGUCCCAAAGUACAGUUAAGUGGAAAAGGAUGUGAAGUUGCGCAGACAACCAGGAUGUUGGCUCAGAAGCAGCCACUCAUUCAAAGAGUGCGUAAUAGCUCACUGGUCGAGUGAUUUUGCGCCGAAAAUUUAACGGGGCUAAACUGUACACCGAAGCUUGGGAAUAUACCUCUGGUAUGUUGGUAGGAGAGCGUCGUAUGCGGGGUGAAGUCGUAGCGAAAGCGGCGGUGGACUGCAUAGGAGUGAGAAUGCCGGAAUGAGUAGCGAGAAUUAUGUGAGAAUCAUAAUGGCCGAAAGACUAAGGUUUUAGAAGGAAGGUUCGUCCGCUUCUAGUUAGCCGGGAGCUAAGGCGAGGCCGAAAGGCGUAGUCGAUGCACAUACGGUUGAGAUUCCGUAGCCACCUUAAAUUUAAACUAAGGGACACAUUGAAAGGGAAUAACCCAGGCGUUGGUUGACCUGGGCGUAAGGGAACGAAAAUAAGUAGUGAAGUAUUCUUGGACAGUGGCGAGAAAAGCUUAGUGUAUAUUAUUAGGGUGCCCGUACUGCAAACCGACACAGGUAGUCAGGAAGAGAAUUCUAAGGCCAUCGGGAGAAGCGUUGUUAAGGAACUCGGCAAAUUGACCCCGUAACUUCGGAAUAAGGGGUGCUCACGCGAGUGAGCCGCAGUGAAUAGGUCCAGGCAACUGUUUAUCAAAAACACAGCUCUCUGCUAAAUCGUAAGAUGACGUAUAGGGGGUGACACCUGCCCGGUGCUGGAAGGUUAAGAGGAGGAGUGCAAGCCCCGAAUCGAAGCCCCAGUAAACGGCGGCCGUAACUAUAACGGUCCUAAGGUAGCGAAAUUCCUUGUCGGGUAAGUUCCG
rnacentral:rRNA from 1 species